rnacentral:rRNA from 1 species
CCUACGGGAGGCAGCAGUGAGGAAUAUUGGUCAAUGGACGAGAGUCUGAACCAGCCAAGUAGCGUGAAGGAUAACUGCCCUAUGGGUUGUAAACUUCUUUUAUAUGGGAAUAAAAUGUUCCACGUGUGGGAUUUUGUAUGUACCAUAUGAAUAAGGAUCGGCUAACUCCGUGCCAGCAGCCGCGGUAAAACGGAGGAUCCGAGCGUUAUCCGGAUUUAUUGGGUUUAAAGGGAGCGUAGGUGGAUUGUUAAGUCAGUUGUGAAAGUUUGCGGCUCAACCGUAAAAUUGCAGUUGAAACUGGCAGUCUUGAGUACAGUAGAGGUGGGCGGAAUUCGUGGUGUAGCGGUGAAAUGCUUAGAUAUCACGAAGAACUCCGAUUGCGAAGGCAGUUCACUGGACUGCAACGGACACUGAGGCUCGAAAGUGUGGGUAUCAAACAGGAUUAGAUACCCCUGUAGUC